ACGUGGACGGGUUGUAAAAAGCCCACGGAGUCUUUAGUGAACGCCAGGAUCUAAUGCAGUUUACUUAUAAUUAUUUUGAAACCGCCAAGCUGAUUGAUACAGUGUCAUAUAGGCAUACAUAUAAUUCGAAUCCCCAACUAAGCAUGACACUGCGCAUUUUGUGACGUCAAGACAAUUCAAAAUACAUAUAUUAUUUAGAGUAAACAAAUAAGUGGCAUCGCGUCUAGCUCCCUCGCUAUAGAAUCUUCCCAGACGCGCGACAACAGGUGUAAAGAUACAGAUACAUCGGUUAUCUUUGGAGGCAAAUGGAUCUGGGAAUGUAAUUUAAAAAUAAGAUUUAUUGGAUGGUUAAAGAGAGUAAUGCCCGCCCUUUAAUAAAACUAUGGGGGUUUGUUUUUUUAAAUUAUUUAAACCUAUUUAUUCGAGAAUACUUCGAAUACGCGUGUGUAUAUAUUGUAUGGUACUAAAAUCUCAUUUGAUAUUACUAGGAUAAAUAAAAUUGUGAUUUGCUUCUGUUGUCUCUUAGUUAAUUUACACAGUUUAGAAGACGCUUCUUACGUUUUAAAAUAUUCAUUACGAUACUACUUUGUUUAAAUAUUUCGUUCUUUUUCGGAUGAGUUUCUUUUUGCUUGUUUUGUAGGUUGCGUCGUGUGUUUUUGUUUUCCGUCUGAUUCUCCUGGAAGCGCACUUUUGUUACGAUUCUUGUGAUUAUUAAUCUCGCUCUGGCUCUAAAUUGUUUUGUAUUUUCGUCUCACUUUUGUUAACUAUUUCACAAUUUGUUUGAAUGCUCGCCCAAAUCCAAAGGAAGCCGACGGACCUUGAUAAGCGGUCUUGGAUUUUGCUUAAGUUUAAUUUCGCAUUAAUGAGUUAGCUGCCGAGCCGGAUGCUCUGCGAAAUUGUGCUAAAUGAACUUAGGCUUAAAUGAAGCUUUCCCCAACUGGGCCCUGGGUUCUUGUUUCCGUAUGCUAUAUUGCCAUGGCUAUAGCUACGUGUCGUAUGCUGUUAUAGUUAAUCGGCCUGCUCGAGUUAUAUAUUUACAGAUAGGAUUACAUGGAUGUACGAUAGGUUAAAGUUACGAUUACAGGACGAAGUCGCGCGAUAUUUUCGAGAACCUAACUCGCCUCGAAGUGUAUUACAGAUUCAGUCGUUCGCGAACAGUGCGUUUCGUGGCCAUUAGGCAAUUACAAUGUCAAUGGCCACGCACCGUGCAGUUAUUAUGUUUGUGGGUGUAUUUCGCAUUGAGUGGCUUAAACAUAGGUGCUUGUUAGAUGCUUAGUAACUUAGUUAAUUGCUGUUAAUUAUCGGCUUAAGUUGCUGGGCUUUCCGGUUCGGUCUAUCAGUUUGAUGGCAAUUGGCUGCUGCAGUUGUAGUUCUUGCGUAUAAAUAUAUAAUUAGUACAUAGAAUACUUUAUGAAAUACUUAGUUCUGGAAUGCUUCUACUCGCUCACAUCGAUUUUCGUGGGACGGGGAGGAAUGUAUACAAUUCUUACAUGAAUAAUCAGAUUGUAAUGCUGUCUGUGUCUGGGGAGAAGAACUCGAAAUUGGCACUGAAAUGUUAAGCAUUUGUUAUUAAUUAUAAGUACCUCUCUACCCCUCUCUUUCUGGCCCUUCCUAUCUCUUUCUCUGUCUAUUUAAACUUACUCACAAAUCAUUGGGAAGUCGAAGGAAGUGUUUGACAAUUUGCUUAGAACUAAUGUUGCAUUCAUGGGCGUUGUUAAAUACUUUUUGCGUUUAAGUACGACUACAGGUAAGUGGAUUCGAAUAGAAUUCAAUUAAAUUAAGGUUAGCGUCGUUAAUUAAUAU